rnacentral:rRNA from 1 species
CGGGUGAGUAACGCGUGAGCAACCUGUCCCUUACAGGGGGAUAACACAGCGAAAGUUGUACUAAUACCGCAUAAGACCACGGCAGGACAUCCUGCAGGGGUCAAAGGAGCAAGUCCGGUAAGGGGUGGGCUCGCGUCCGAUUAGAUAGUUCGGUGAGGUAACGGCCCACCAAGUCGACGAUCGGUAGCCGACCUGAGAGGGUGAUCGGCCACAUUGGGACUGAGACACGGCCCAAACUCCUACGGGAGGCAGCAGUGGGGAAUAUUGGGCAAUGGGGGAACCCUUGACCCAGCAACGCCGCGUAGAGGGAAGAAGGUUUUCGGAUCGUAAACCUCUGUCCUUGGUGAAGAGUAUGAGACGGUAGCCAAGGAGGAAGCCCCGGCUAACUACGUGCCAGCAGCGGC